AAACCAUGAUGAGGACAUCCUCCUUUUAACUCCCGAUAACACUCCCAUGUUUCAUACAAUGUCUGUCCUUUUUGUUGACAAAAACUCGUUAUAUCCAUACGAAAUUU